rnacentral:rRNA from 1 species
UACGUAGGUGGCGAGCGUUAUCCGGAAUUAUUGGGCGUAAAGGGUGCGUAGGCGGCACAUUAAGUCUAAGGUUAAAGUUCGAGGCUCAACUUCGGAUUGCCUUAGAAACUGGUGAGCUAGAGUGCAGGAGAGGGCAAUGGAAUUCCAUGUGUAGCGGUAAAAUGCGUAGAUAUAUGGAGGAACACCAGUGGCGAAGGCGGUUGCCUGGCCUGUAACUGACGCUGAGGCAC